rnacentral:rRNA from 1 species
UCCGUAGGUGGAUAAUUAAGUCAGAGGUGAAAGUUUGCAGCUCAACUGUAAAAUUGCCUUUGAUACUGGUUAUCUUGAAUUAUUGUGAAGUGGUUAGAAUAUGUAGUGUAGCGGUGAAAUGCAUAGAUAUUACAUAGAAUACCAAUUGCGAAGGCAGAUCACUAACAAUAUAUUGACACUGAUGGACGAAAGCGUGGGGAGCGAACAGGAUUAGAUACCUGGUAGUCC